CCUACGGGGGGCUGCAGUCGAGAAUCUUUCACAAUGGGGGCAACCCUGAUGGAGCGACGCCGCGUGGAGGAUAAGGUCUUCGGAUUGUAAACUCCUGUCAUGUGAGAACAAGGCUGCCGGGUUAACAACCCUGCAGAUUGAUGGUACCACAAGAGGAAGAGACGGCUAACUCUGUGCCAGCAGCCGCGGUAAUACAGAGGUCUCAAGCGUUGUUCGGAAUCACUGGGCGUAAAGGGUGCGUAGGUGGCGUGGUAAGUCAGAUGUGAAAGCCCGGG
rnacentral:rRNA from 1 species